UUUAAAAAAAGACCUAGGUUUUUCUCAUUAUCUCAAAUAUUAAUGAGAAUUUCAAAAAAUGACUUUUCUCUCAUGUUAUAAUAAAAUGAUUAUAUUUUCUUUAAUAAUGUUUGUUUAAUAUUGGACUAUUUUCCCGUUUGCAUAUGAUUCUGUACAUGAACUCGGCACUUGUAUUAAAACCAAGCUCAACGAUCGAUUUAUUUGAAUAUACCGCCAAAUAUUUUAGUAGCCGGAUAUCACAGUUUUAGCUUAAAUACCUAUUUAUUUUAAUUUUAGAAUUAACCAUGGUGCAUUGGGUAACACCUUACUGGUAGGAUUUGUGUUAUCAAGUUCGAUAUCAUCCGACGCGCAGUAAAUUUUCGCACUUAUUUUUUUGUAAAAAAAAAAUAGGCGUCUAAUUUCCGUAUGUGAUUUAAACGUUUUUAUUUUGCCCAGAAGCUCACCCCAAUCGAAUUUUUUUUUAUUCACUUUCUCCUAUUGCCUACUUAACGUGGUUUUACACAUCAAAUCGGGAGUUAUUUUCGAUUAAAACAGUCCGAGCGAGCGAGUAACCCUGCUAGGUCUUUAAGUGCAUCCAAAAUGCUUUUUUUACUUUUCCCUAUCACUUACCCGACGUGGUUUUGCACAACAAAUCGAGUGUUAUUUUUAAAGUAUAUAAAUUUCAUUCAAAUAAUUCUAAUAUGUACUAUAUGUUUUACAUAAAAUAUUUGGCGGUAUAUUUAAAUUAACCAAUUGUAGAACUUGAUUUAUUACAGGUGCCGAUCUCAUGUAUGGAAUGCUUAUAUGCUCCCCGUUCUAUCGUUUUUUUUUUCGAAUUUUCCAAUAUAUUGAGAAAAUUCCUGAGAAAAUCAAAAAAAUGAUCUCCUUAAAGUACCUUUCCAGUCAAAUUUUUUUCAGAAAAAGUGCUAUCAUUGUAAAUUAGAGCAAGGUUGCUAUAAUAUUUGCUGUAAUAUUUUUUAACUAAUAUUUAAAUAUAUUGAACUACAUUUCGAGCAUUUUCCGGUUUUCCAAUAAAUAGAGAAAACUGCCAGGAAAAUCAAAAAAUGACCUUCCUCAAGUACCAUCCCAGGAAAAUUUACUUUCAAAAAUUAUGGUCUACAUCAUAUACAUCAAAAGCGAUAAGCUUUCUGAAUAUGUUUCGGAGUAAGCUAAACUCAGAAUCUAAAAUACAAUUCUGAAAGAUGUUCGUUUAUAAAUGUUUUGAAAUGCUGUAAACUUAAAACGAUAUUAUAUGUAAAAAAAAAUCUACUGCUUUAAUACUCAUUUUUUUUUUUGUAAGUAAUUACAACUAAUUAAAACUUGUAUUGGAACUUGUGUAAAAUUUGCAAGCAUAUCUGAUCAGCCAAAAUAAUUUAAUUUACAUAAAACCAAAUAAGUUGUAAUAGGAUCAGAAAAUGUAAAAUUUCUAUAAAGAGCUCGAACUCACUAUAAUGUUUUGAAAAUUUAACAAAAGUAAUUUGUAAACAUUUCAUAUCCUUAACUGAUUCACAAAAAAAAAAAAUAUAAUAAAAUCAAAAAUUAUGAAACCGUUAUUUUCGAUGACAAUAAUAGGUACCUAUAUUGAUUCUCGAAUUUCAGGAGUAGUUCAUCCUAUGAUACGAGGUCUUUACUUUUUGACUCUUAUAUGUUUUAAAACAUAAUAAUGUAUUAAUAU
rnacentral:lncRNA from 1 species